rnacentral:rRNA from 1 species
GACGAACGCUGGCGGCGUGCUUAACACAUGCAAGUCGAACGGAAAGGCCCUGCUUUUGUGGGGUGCUCGAGUGGCGAACGGGUGAGUAACACGUGAGUAACCUGCCCUUGACCUUGGGAUAACUUCAGGAAACUGGGGCUAAUGCCGGAUAGGAGCUCCUGCUGCAUGGUGGGGGUUGGAAAGUUUCGGCGGUUGGGGAUGGACUCGCGGCUUAUCAGCUUGUUGGUGGGGUAGUGGCUUACCAAGGCUUUGACGGGUAGCCGGCCUGAGAGGGUGACCGGCCACAUUGGGACUGAGAUACGGCCCAGACUCCUACGGGAGGCAGCAGUGGGGAAUAUUGCACAAUGGGCGGAAGCCUGAUGCAGCAACGCCGCGUGCGGGAUGACGGCCUUCGGGUUGUAAACCGCUUUCGCCUGUGACGAAGCGUGAGUGACGGUAAUGGGUAAAGAAGCACCGGCUAACUACGUG